CUCACCAUGGGAUGGAGCUGGACCAUCCUUUUCCUCCUGUCAGUAAUUACAGGUGUCCACUGCCAGGUCCAGCUGCAGCAGUCUGGUCCUGAGCUGGGGAAACCUGGUUCUUCCGUGAAGUUGUCCUGCAAGGCUUCUGGCUACACCUUUGCCUACUACUAUGUGCACUGGGUGAAGCAGAGGCCUGGACAGGGCCUGGAGUGGGUUGGAAGCAUAUUUCCUGGAACUGGUUAUACUGACUACAAUCAGAAGUUUAAGGACAAGGCCAAAAUGACUGCAGAUAAAUCCUCCAGCACAGCCUACAUGAAUCUCAACAGCCUGACCCCUGAGGACUCUGCGGUCUAUUACUGUGCAACACACAGUGGUGUUCACCGAUCUGAUCACUGGGGUAAGCCAGUUCAGUUCAGAUACCCUUUCCACUAUUUCUCAUAGUCCAACCUGGGGUCAUCCUGGAGAAUUCCUGGCAAAUUCCCUAGCACCGGGGUUCUCUCUAUCCCCAUGGUUUCUCCCUCCAUAAUGGUAUCUCUUUCAUUGCUUUC